rnacentral:rRNA from 1 species
UACGUAGGGGGGCUAGCGUUGUCCGGAAUCAUUGGGCGUAAAGCGCGUGUAGGCGGUCCGGUAAGUCCGCUGUGAAAAGUCGAGGGGCUCAACCCUCGAAUGCCGGUGGAUACUGUCGGGCUUGAGUACGGGAGAGGCGAGUGGAAUUCCUGGUGUAGCGGUGAAAAAUGCGCAGAUAUCAGGAGGAACACCGAUUGCGAAGGCAGCUCGCUGGAACGUUACUGACGCUGAGACGCGAAAAGCGUGGGGGAGCAAAACAGG